rnacentral:lncRNA from 1 species
UAUUUACUAUUUCUAUUUACUAUUUCAGUAUUUAUUUUUCACAUAUGUUGAUUCUUUUUAGAUCUUCCACCUGCUUCAGUUAUGCUGCUUUAAGAUCUCUGGUGAUAUGAGAAGAGUCUGUACAAAGGAAGAGAAUUUGAUGCCUACCACUGCUGAAAAAGGAUUUGAAGGGAAAAAGAAAGGAAGAAGUAAUGAUUGAGAAGCAUCUGUGAAGGAUCUGCUAUACCUGUUUUUUUUUCAAAAUCUGUCUUCAUAAUUUGAUUCAUUCAUCGCCUGGAGCUGCUGGACGAAACACAGACAUGGAAGCACUGUAGAUGAAAAGUACAAUGUCU